UAGCUACUCCCUCAGUCCGGAAUUACUUGUCGGAAAAACGGGUAAGAAUGAAUGUAUCUAGAACUAAAAUACAUCUAGACCCCCUCCCCCUCGUGAUUGUUGAAAAAAAGUACUUCUAGAUACAUUCAUUCCUCUGACAAGUAUUUCUGGAUGGAGCGAGUAGAUG
rnacentral:pre_miRNA from 1 species